UGCAAAAAAUAAUGAAAUUGUACUUGAAACGGACCCGCUCACCUCAAUCGAUCAAAUUGACAGGAAUUACUGCCGAAGCAGGAGAGUUCCUUGACCGUGUGGAGUGCUAGUCUAGAAAGGCUUGUCAUUGGUUGGGAUCCGGUAACACUUACACCCAAGAAAACGGUAUGAUUUGCA